UACACGCUCUCUCCCUUCCCUCCUCCCUUCCUCUUUCUUUUCUACAUUUAUAUAUCUUAUUGAUUUCUUUCUCUAGGUUUUAGUGUAGUUGUAAUUUUGAUUUUUUUUUUCUUUUUAAUUUUUGGUCUAAUGCACUUGAAUAGAUUUUUAUUGGAUAACCCAGAUGGGUUUUCCGGAAAAACAGUAGUCUCACAUUGAUUAGGGUUUGAUUUACUCAGUACAAACAAGGGUUUUUUAGGGUGUAGGGAGUCCUAGUCCUUGGUUGAUUGACGAUGGAGGGGUCUUUAAAGAAUCUCCUCUGUUGUCCGUGUAAUUCCUUUCUAUUUCGAAAUGCUGAAAAUAAUGAGGAAGUUUGGAUGUAUUGUGGUGUGAAUUGUACUGAUGGGCCCGGUUUAUGUAUUAGGCCUACUUCAGUGUGCAAGCAUUUGUUAUGGUGGGCCCCCCUGUUGUUCAAGGCCUCCACAAAAACUUCCAGAUUGGAAGUUCGUAUUUAGCCAGUCCCAGGCCCGGUUAAAAGAGGGUUGAUGUGAGAUGGGCAGACGGGGCCAAUCAAUCAUGAGAAUCCUGUGUUUAAAAAAUGGGUAAAUAGGAUUCAUGAAACAACUCCAGUUUGCUGGGAAAAGGCUAUGACAACGGUGAUGAUAGGAAGAUCACACACGCAUAUUAUGUAUACCACCUUUGACUUUCUCUUUGGAGUUUGGACCAUGGUUCCUUAGAUGGUGGGUAAGGGUGGCAAUUGUCGGGCCUCUAGAGGUCACAUGCCUGAAUUUUGAACUGUAGGUUCGGGCCCAUUUAGAUUUGUCAUUUGCUCAGUCUGCGGCUCUGCGCCUGGUCCAUUGCCAGCAUUAGCAGUGAUGCACAUCAGAUGACUGGUCGAUUCUUAACCAUGGCCCCACUUGUAUGGAUUAGAGCAUCAGGAUAUCAUCCAACUUUUUGAUGUGUCAGGGUCUUAUAAUCCAUCUAACUCAAUUACAUUCAACUAAAAAGCAUGGAUCACCAGUGACCUUUCCUUGUAGCUCAAAACUUUGAGAAUCUUUCUAAAUAAGAUGGUUAACAUGAACGUGCAUGCAAUGGUUUAGUAGUAUUACACUUCUUAUUGCUUUCACUAUAACUAAAUCUCAAUAUAGUUGGGCUGUCAGGGAACAAAAUUCGUUUUUGGGAUGAUAAAUGGUGUGGUACAAGAACAUUUGUAGAUGAAUUUCCUAUUUUGGCUAAGGCGACAGUGGAGAGAGACAUAACAGCUGAUCGGUGCUAUUUCUCUAGCAAUGGGCGGGUGGUUUGGGCUCCUCGUUAUUGGAAUUUAAAAGAUGUAGAGAUUGAUGAAUACACUUCAUUAAUGACUCGGCUUGAGUUAAUCGUUCCUAAAUCUCUUGAAAAGUGACUCAAUGGUUUGGUCUGCUCAUACUUCAGGGCGGUUUUCAGUUCACUCCUUUUAUUCUUUGUUGCAAGUUUCAUCACAUGAUCACCAGCUUUGUUUCCCUUAUCAUUUCUGGUCAUACGGUGCUCCUCGAGUUGCUGCUUUCGUCUGGUUAGUGGGCAGGAAACGGGUUUUAACAGUGGAUAACUUACAACGGAGGGCUCUAAUUCUUCCAAAUGUUUGUUUGAUGUGUGUGGGAGAUGUGGAAUCAAUUGAUCAUUUAUUCAUCCGCUAGAUCUGUUUGUGAUUUCUUAUGGGCUUGGCAUGGUGGGGGGACUGGUAAAUCUACAAAGGCAUUGUGGCGAUUACUCAUCAUGGCUAUUUUUUGGGUAAUUUGGUGAGCUCGAAAUGACCGUUGUUUUAACAAUAGGGAGGUAACAGUAUUGGAUCGUGUUCGUAAGAUCAAUUUUUGCAUAUCAGGUUGGGCAAAUGUUGUAAAUAUGAUAGAUUUUGACCAGCUUCGUUCCAUGAUUCAUUUGUAAAUUGUUUGUUUUGUUUUCUUUGUAUUUUUGCUCGCUUCUUGUGAGUUUUCAAUAAAAUUUUGAUGUUAAUUUUCAA